rnacentral:rRNA from 1 species
AACGAACGCUGGCGGCAUGCCUAACACAUGCAAGUCGAACGAGACCUUCGGGUCUAGUGGCGCACGGGUGCGUAACGCGUGGGAACCUGCCCUUAGGUUCGGAAUAACUCCCCGAAAGGGGUGCUAAUACCGGAUAAUGUCUUCGGACCAAAGAUUUAUCGCCUUUGGAUGGGCCCGCGUUGGAUUAGCUAGUUGGUAGGGUAAAAGCCUACCAAGGCGACGAUCCAUAGCUGGUCUGAGAGGAUGAUCAGCCACACUGGGACUGAGACACGGUCCAGACUCCUACGGGAGGCAGCAGUGGGGAAUAUUGGACAGUGGGCGAAAGCCUGAUCCAGCAAUGCCGCGUGAGUGAUGAAGGCCUUAGGGUUGUAAAGCUCUUUUACCCGGGAUGAUAAUGACAGUACCGGGAGAAUAAGCUCCGGCUAACUCCGUG